GACAGAGGUUGCAAGCGUUGUUCGGAAUCACUGGGCAUAAAGCGCACGUAGGCGGUCUGUUAAGUCAGGUGUGAAAGCCCCCGGCUCAACCGGGGAAUUGCAUUUGAUACUGGCAGGCUCGAGAACGGUAGGGGUGAGUGGAACUCCAGGUGGAGCGGUGAAAUGCGUAGAUAUCUGGAGGAACACCGGUGGCGAAAGCGGCUCACUGGACCGUCACUGACGCUGAGGUGCGAAAGCUAGGGUAGCAAACGGG
rnacentral:rRNA from 1 species